CCCCCCUGGCCCAGGCACCCCACGCGGGGUGGAGGACGCCCCGUGGGGCUUCAGCGGUGCUCUCCGUGUGAAGGAGGGCUGCUCGCCCGAGUCCUGCCGGUGCCGCGCAGGCUGGGGGGAGCAACCCCCCUCCUCUCCCUGCUGCAUUAAUGGGGGCUUUUUCCUUUUCCUUGCAAAGCUUCCCGGCAGGGCAGCCGGGGGGACCCUGGGGAGGGAGGGUGAGCGAGCCCCGGGAGGAGGAGGGGGGCGGGGGAGACCGUCCCCUCUCCCCGCUGCUGUUGCCGAAGCUGUGCCGGAGCUGUCGAUGUGGCUCCCCAGAGUUAGUUGCUCAGCAACCAGAAUCAAUUAAUAUGCUUUGCAGAAAGUGCAGGGGAAGCCCGAGCUGCUGUCAGCGAGAAGGCAGGAGGCUGAGGGUGCCUCGGGAUCCCACUCCCGCCUGACACCCAUUCGGUGCCACCCCACCCUCUCCGAACCCACCGUUAGCUACUGUUCUUUAUCCCCUUCUCCUUCCCUAUGAUGACUUAGCGCGUGUGUCCCCAAAUCCUUCAGGCAAGUCCCUCUGAUGACACCACGAAUCUGGGAAUGAAGAACUUCUUAGAGCUGAUUGGAAAUGGCAUUGCGGAGCUGAAACUUAACUGGAGGAAAUAUAUCUCCUGAAGAAGAACAUAUAAUGCACUGUAAGGAUCUGACUUCUGGUGAAAAAUUCAAGCCUAGAGAAAACUUGUCCGCUUUGUUAGGAAGAAUGGGUUGGACAAUUUUCUUCAAUUCCAAAGGAUAUCUGAAUGCCAUGCUGAGCUUAAUCUCUGCAGCAUGCUCUGUGCUUCUCAUCUCUUCCUGAUGCACUGCAUGGUUAUCCUGAAGGGGCGGAUAAAGAAACUGGCCACCAAGAUGGUAAUCACUAGUGGAAAUGAAGAAGAUAAAGGCAGUCAAGAAAAGGAAAGCAAAGAAGAGACCAUCUUGGCAAUGCUUGGAAUUAUUGGGACAAUUCUGAACCUCAUUGUGAUCAUUUUUGUGUAUAUUUACACAACGUUGUAAACUAGGAGGCAUGAAAAUAGACCAGAUAAAACGGCCAUUAAGAGUGACGACAAACAUUGCUGACUAUUGACAAGUUGUUUAAUCAGAAUUGACUCUGUAUUAUAUUAACACAUCAUAAAAGCACUGCCUGCAGGCAGCAAAGGCUGAAGCACAAUUAAUUUAACAAGACUUUUUCACACAGUAACAAGCUUAACUCUUCUGUCCUGCUCUCUUCCUUUCAGUUUGGUUUUCAGUUUUGGGGAAAAUGACUGCAAUGAUGUAAGUUGUAGCUUUGAAGAAAACCACCAGGGAUAUGUUGUUUUAACACAAUUUAAAAAAAAAAAAAAAGAGAAGAAAGAAACUGUACACUAUAUACAAAUAGAAAUGUAUACUCUAUACCCGCAAAGAUUGAACUCAAAGAUAGCUUCAUAGCACAGAUCACGUGUCCGUUAGGUCAAAUGAUUUUUUUCUCUUGGUUUUGCUUUUACUUACAUUGAAUUUGACGAGCUUUUUAUUUAGAAUGAACAUAUGGUGCAAUCAUGAAAAAACAAUUCCAUUGAGCAAGGUCUGCCUAAACCUGAUAAAAUGUUGGGAGAAAUACAUUACAUGGUUAUUUUUCCUCUCUCAUUUGCUUAACAUCUGUGUCUGUUCAUACUAAUGUUUAUAAAUAUAUAUUUUUAAUAAAUGUGCUAUAUUUUUAGCAUGAACCAAAUAUUUGGAGACACUUGUAUUCAUGCAGCUAAAUUUUGUUUGAUGAAGUGCCCUUUUUGACAAUGGAUGUUAUUUUUCUCAGCAAUUAUACAGCAGUCUUGUUUGCAGCCCUCUCACUGUGGUCUGAAGCAAGCUCACAUCAUGCUCAUAUGCAUGACUUGAAGUUGGAAUGUCAGCUGAAAAGCAUUGCUGCUUAAUACGGGAAAUAGCAAAACAUUGUAAGGUGACCUUUGGAGACUGGUUGCAGAAAGAAGGCUCUAUUUAUAGUUUAAAAAAAAAAAGCAAAUGAAAGGAAUAUUGAGGCAUCUCACAAAAUAUUAUAAAAUUCAUAGAAUUUAUGGCUUUCAAAAUCUGGUCACACUGUCUAAGUACUUAUAGUGAAAGAAGCAAGCAGAGGUUUAUGCAGUUGAAAAGAAAAAUUUAGAGAGCCUGUGGUGAGGGGCUUAAGUGAAAUCCAGACUGUAAAUACAGAGUAUAUUUUAAAUGUGAGGAUCAUUAACCCUUUAUGCUUCUCUGACGUGCUUUAACUGAGGUCAGUGCAGUGAAAUUCUCUGACUUGUGUUUUUGACAGGAAUGUACAAUGAUGAUGAUGAUCACCAUUUUUAUUCAGAGUUCAGUACCUAUAAAUAUAUGAAGCAUUAAAAAUAUGAGACCUCAAUUCUGCCUCAAGCUGUCUAAGUACGUUGCCCAUUAGCUCUGACAUAUCCUCUUAAAAAAUAGGUCAAUUAAUUGUUUACUGACUUGAGGUUUGGAUUGCGUCCUCAGAUACACAGGGGGCAUUGCUAUUGAAGUCAGCUGGAGCUGUAAAAAGUUUGAUCCUAGAGUCUCAUUGAUUUUGGUGAUCAGUCCUGUCCCUCUGGAACCAGUAAUGAGCUUUUCACUGGUUCCCAGGUGGUAGAACUGGUCUCAAAAAUACAGAAUUUCAUUGCAGGAUAUAAAAGCAAGCCUGGAAAACCCUGAGGGGCACGUCUCAUAAACAGGUGUUUAGUCUCUUGUGGUAUCGCACAUUCAGUAACAAAACCAUUAGGUGAAAGGAAAAGAUCAGUAAAUAAGUUAAAAUGAAAUUCAAUAUGAAGACUGAAGGAAAAAAGAGCAAAAAUAAUCUCAUGUUAAUGAAAACAUGACAGGGUGAGAGAGGAGAGAAAAUGAACACAGGUUUGAACAAGCAGAGAACGGCACAGAAAGAGGGUGCCCUGCACGCCGGUGUGGUUGAAGAAAUAUUUGUGUUUGGAUGGUGCUGGUAGUGCUGCAGGUCUUACAGAGGGUGAGAAAUGUUAGUGGCACCGUUCAGCGGAGCUGAGUGAGGCUGAUCUUGGGUUUUAAUUUAUAGUUAUUUACUGGUAGUUCUAAGGAAUUAGCAAACUCUGCUUUUUGAUCAUCUUGAAUGAAAAAAAAAAAAAAGGCUAAAAUAUAGUUACCUUCACUCCACAUUUUGUCUUCUGGUUGAACUACAGCUGAUCACAGCAUGGGCCAAUAGCAUUGGCACUCAUGUCCCAGCGCGCACCAGCCACCCGGCUAACUCCAGCCUGUCCCUCCUGUUGGCAGGGUCCUCUCUGCAGAUGUUCUCUUGAACCUCUCCUACUCCUUCUCCAGCAAACACCAAAGCAAUCUGCCUGAGGCUUCUACCCAUCUUCUAGAGGGGAAGCCUGGGAAGGGGCAGUGUCCGAGUCAAGAGAUGAGCCCUGAUGCCUGAUUUUUCUUUGCCUCUCUCUGUGUCAAAGGAUAAUACCUGUCAUCAUCUUGUGGGCAUGAAGAUUCUUAAUGAAUGAAAUUUCAUUAAGUACUUCUAUUAAUAUUACAAAUUAAAGCUCUGCAUUGUAAAACAGCAUAUAACCCCCCCAAUCCCCUAAAGUAAAGUAGCAACUUUUGCAGCUUAUCACAGUUGCACUCCUUCAGACAUGGUCCGGCGUCUUCACCGACAGGCACUGCAAAUAGCCCAAACGUGCUUAAGCUGAACUGGUGGAUCAAAAAGCCUAAGGGCUCUGUGUUUACUCUGCCUUUCCCAAGAGAAGACCCGUUAGGGGAAGACUUUCCAACUGGAGGCGUACUGUACUUUGCCUGUUAGUCUUAGCGUAGGCAGUGUAUCCAGGUGCCUACCUCUCUGCGCCAGCAGCAGCCGUGUACUGUGUGCUUUGCCACAGGACUUUCAUUGCACCCUGAAACGGGAAGAAUAGUUUAUCCCAUUCCAUAAAAAGUUUAACAGUAUUUUAAUUUUACAGGUUUCUGUUCACAGAUAGUUCUAGAAAUAUCCUAGGGCAAGUACUUCUUAAGUAGAUUCAUUAAGUAUUCAUUUAAAUAAAGAUGAAGUGUUUCCUUCAAGGGAAAUUUCUUUACCUUUUAUUUGGUAUUCAUGAACACUGGUAUGGGAAAAGUAUGUCUUCAAGAAUGACUGUGGAAGGGAAAUGUUUUAUACAACGAUCUGAAAGUGUGCCUACCCAGGCAGCCGCACGCAGGCCUGCUUUCGGCUGAAUGCCAGCUGGAGCCAAAUUACCCUCAUGCUUUUUUAUGUGAGCAGUGUUCAGCAUGCAUCUAUAAGAAAUAUUCAAAUAGGUAACAUAUAUAUCAUGGAUACCUUACAGUCAGUAACUGCAGUAUAAAUAGUUGAAUAAAACUUCUUAUUACAGGUGCUGAAUGGUAAAUCUGCUUUGGCAAGGAAAAAGCUGAUAGUCUCAUUUUUGGCUUGACUUGUAGGUAAUGUAAAUAGUUUCUAAAGUAAAUUUUUAAAAAUAAAAUAUUACUCCAUUAGUGACAGGAACUUUCAUGUUUGCAUUUGAGUAGAAGGAAUUUAAUAUCCAAUAUCUUAAUAAGAUAUGAAAACAUCACCUUCUGCUUCUGUCAACUAGAAAUACCAUUGUAUUUUUAAAUUAUCCUAUGUAGUUUAAUGGUUUGUGUUAUGGGAGUGAAAAAUAUUUUCCUCAGGUGACAGGAAGGUGACAUGCUCCCUGCCAGUGUCUGGUGUGUUGUGUGGUGGGUACAGAAGGCUUUCAUGAAAGAAGAAGAUAAAAACUAAAUCACGUUAUGCACACAACAAAGUGAGGAGAAAGAAGAAAGAUAGGUAGCCGCUCUCAUCCCUGGUUCCUAUAACUGCCACUGAAAACUCAUCAUCUCAGGAAUCAUGUCUUUAUACAGGAAUAUAUCUUCUUGUGUGCUGGCUGACAGGGCAUUUUUUUUCAAUUAUGUACCUUUUCCUCCUUCUGCUUGCACCUCCACAGCAGUGUGUGGCUCAUCACACCUUAGGAGAAUUUUUUACAUGUACCCAGCCUGGGAGCCUCUGGAAGUUGCUGUUUUGGUUUAUAGUGGUGUAAAGGUCUACUAUGGGACAGAGUUUUAUUAUUUUAAGGUCAAUCAGUAAUCAUCUUUAUGUUAUUGUCUGAUAAUCUAGGGGAUACUUUGCUGGUUGAAUUCCCAGACCCAUCCCUCCCUUGGCCCACAAGUAAAAUUUUGAUUCAGUAGACCUCCAAAUACAAAAAAUCUUCAGUUACAUCAUGAUAAAACUUUAGUAUGAAGCAUUGCUUAAGUCCAAGUGUCUUAUAUUUCCAUUUAAUUUAUAUCCUGGAGCUCAUCCCACAUGCCCCCGGGUCUCAUCUGUGUCAGGAGGUCUCAUUGUUUCUGAGUGAGAAUUGAUGUUUCAGAGUGCAUUCUGGCAUAAGCAGAGAACUGCGUCCAGAGAGGGGAACUGGGAUAAAAAGUAACUGAAUUAAAACUCCAGGAAGGCAGCACUGCAGAAUUUACUAAUUAAAUAGUUUGAGGCUUGGCUGGAGUACUUUGUUUCUGGCUAGCCAGUAUUUUGGAGAAAAAAUAUUAUUGUUCCUUGGAAAGUUUCUGGAAGAAAUAUGUCUAAUUGAAAGAAAGAACCUCAUUGAAAAUGUUUCAGCAGCAAUUUCCAGCAGCAACCUUCCAAAUAAAACACCGACCAGGCCUCCGAGUGACUCUGGCUUGCUUCCCAAGAGCAUGUUUUGGCAGCCCAGGAACACACUGCACAUAUAUGUAAGCCCCUCUUGUUUACUGAGAGGCUUUGUCUUCUUUGGAGCAGAAUGCACAGAUUUACAAAGAUUUAAAAAUGUAAGGAAUAGUACAUUAUGCAGUCAACAACAAAAAAUGCUGUUCAACUUUCUUUCCAGCAGAUACCCUGCAGACACCCUGCAGAAUGUGCACUGCUUCUGUGCCUGGCUGUGCUUUUUGGAGGGUCUUCCCAAAAAGUCUUAUACACUCAGUGUAGCUUUCCUUCCCCACCACCGAUCCAAGAGAAACAAAACCUGUUCAGCGUGGAAACCUCCACGCCAGGCUGAAAUCCCACAUGCAUCCAUCUUGAUUUAUCUACAUAUGAACCAUCUGGUAUCCAAUAAGACUCUCCUUGUCUUAAGCGUUAGGUUUGCUUAUUUGCAUUUCACCUGGGGACUCAGGUGGUGAAAGGCAAUUUGUAGGGUUGAAAGCACCCAACUGUUUCCAAUGAUACAACUUUACAUAAUGUAGCCGUUACCUAGAAAGGUGCUUGUUUGUCCAGAAAUGUGCCUGCCCCGUGCCAUGCCCAUGGCACGCAGUCCUCCACGUGUAGUGUCUCACUGACAGAGUAUCCGUGACUGUGAGGGGGGUGGGUUUGGGCUGUAACUGGCCCCUACAGCAGGGUUUUGUACCAAAGUCUGGAUCCCAAGUCAAGCUCUGUAGAGUGAAAGGACAUCCUGCUUUGCUCAUGGAAGGUACUUAGCUGUGUUCACAGCACCGGGAUCCCUUCUUCUGCAACCAGUACAAAUUCAGCUUAAGGUGAUCCAUGCACCACUCCUGACCCUCUUGGUAGCUGCAGAGCUUCCUUCCCUCUGGGUGAAGAAAACAGCUUUGGGCUUCCCUAAGCUCCUAGAAUAGGGAGCAAAGUCCCUCCUGCAAGGCAGAGGUAGCAGCAGGAGCAUCCAUUUCUUGCUGACAACAACCAGGUCACUUGCCUGGAGUGCUGAUGGGGACCCUUUUCACUCCCAUCAUUGUACAUAGUCUGGGAAAUGCAAGUUUAUUAGCUGGCCUCUGGGUUCUCCACAGGCUCAGUCACCAGUUAGACUCAGGCAGACUCGUUUUCUGAUGCUGAAACUUUGUUAUACUCGCAUGCCUCCUGGAGCCAGGUCUUCAGGAGUAGAUUAAAGGCCCUGAUAUCUUAAUCUGGCCUUGAUAUCAUGAAGGUCUCACCAUAACAAGUCUCAGCCAUUGUCAGUCUCUCUGGCAGCAAGGUGUUAACGGACUAGCAUUAGCAAGGGACACCAGAUGGGAGCCACAGUGAGCCGGAGUUGGUGCAGAGGAGGCUGGCUGCUUUGGAGACAGUACUUACCUACCUUCUUGAAGGGCAACGGUAUUAUGGUGGAUUGAUAUUGGUGGUGGGUAAAUGUAAUAAAAUGUUGCUGUAGCAGGGGCAUGAUAUCUCACCUUUAGUUCCUGCAAACUCAAUGGGAAAGGCUUUAUAAAUAAUUCUGGCUUUGUGAAUUUAAGAUAUGGAUUAAAAUUUACUAUAUAUGUUUUCAAA